AGGCUUGCUCCUUGGGUGACGAGUGGCGGAUGGGUGAGGUAAUGUCUGGGAAACUGCCUGAUGGAGGGGAUAACUACUGGAAACGGUAGCUAAUACCGCAUAACGUCGCAAGACCAAAGAGGGGGACCUUCGGGCCUCUUGCCAUCAGGAUGUUGCCCAGAUGGGAUUAGCUAGUAGGUGGGGUAACGGCUCACCUAGGCGACGAUCCCUAGCUGGUCUGAGAGGAUGACCAGCCACACUGGAACUGAGACACGGUCCAGACUCC
rnacentral:rRNA from 1 species